GUAAGUAAAUGAAAUAUUCGAUGAUUAAAAUCAUUUGCAACAAAAUGAAAUACAUAGUUUUUUUAAAUAGUCGCUAACUAUCUUAAUUUUUAUUUUGUCGUUGUUGUUCUUUUUCUUUUUAAAUACGUGUUUUGAUAGUUCAUUUCUUAAAAAAAUUAUUGGUCGUUCGCGACGUUGUGGAGUCUGCUCUACUGGUUGCAUCGUUGGUUGGGGAAGAGUCUGUUGUAGUAUUGGUGCUCGUGACGUCGACGUUUCAAAUGAAUAAAUAUUGUACCCGCCCAUUUAGGUUGCGUCAUCAUCCGAAAGUUGGGUGUUUGCGAAAAUUUCAAUUUCAAACAUGCAAAUUAUAUUAACUAAUUAAUAACUAUCAUAGGAUAUAAUUUAAAAUAAAUAAAAAUAUUACCUUGAUCGAUAGAUCCGCAAAUCCUAAAUUCACCAAUCCUCAAAUCUUACAAAAUAUAUCAACAAAUAUAACACAUAACAAAUCACAAACGAUUAGCACAUAGAACACAUAAUAUAUCACACGGGCGACGGGGAGAUAUCCGACGGAGAAAACACUUCAACGGCGGUGAAGACAAUUUCAACCUAUAAUAAAUAUUAAAAAUAGUAAAUAAUUAAAAAUUAAAAACAAU
rnacentral:lncRNA from 1 species